AAAUAACCUCCGAAUGAAUAUAACCCAGAUUAACGAAUCUAAGUGUAACAAUACCAGUAAUUGACCCAUCCUUUGAUCAACGGAACAAGUUACCCCAGGGAUAACAGCGCAAUUCUAUUUGAGAGCCCAUAUCGAAAAUUAGGGUUUACGACCUCGAUGUUGGAUCAGGACACCCAAAUGGUGCAACCGCUAUUAAAGGUUUGUUUGUUCAACGAUUAAAGUCCUACGUGAUCUGAGUUCAGACCAGAGAAAUCCAGGUCGGUUUCUAUCUGUAAAUUCAUUUCUCCUAGUAGGAAAGGACAAGAGGAAUAGGGCCAACAUCCCCAAUAAGCCCUAGAGCCAACAUAUGAAUCAAUCUAAAUAUACUAAAUCAAUUUAUGUGCCCCCAAGAACAGGGUUGUUAAAAUGGCAGAGCUGGUAAUUGCAUAAAGUUUAAGCCUU
rnacentral:ncRNA from 1 species